rnacentral:rRNA from 1 species
GAUGAACGCUGGCGGCGUGCUUAACACAUGCCAGUCGAACGAAGCACUUUAUUUGAUUUCCUUCGGGACUGAUUAUUUUGUGACUGAGUGGCGGACGGGUGAGUAACGCGUGGGUAACCUGCCUUGUACAGGGGGAUAACAGUUGGAAACGGCUGCUAAUACCGCAUAAGCGCACAGCAUCGCAUGAUGCAGUGUGAAAAACUCCGGUGGUAUAAGAUGGACCCGCGUUGGAUUAGCUAGUUGGUGAGGUAACGGCCCACCAAGGCGACGAUCCAUAGCCGAACUGAGAGGGUGACCGGCCACAUUGGGACUGAGACACGGCCCAAACUCCUACGGGAGGCAGCAGUGGGGAAUAUUGCACAAUGGGCGAAAGCCUGAUGCAGCGACGCCGCGUGAGCGAAGAAGUAUUUCGGUAUGUAAAGCUCUAUCAGCAGGGAAGAUAAUGACGGUACCUGACUAAGAAGCACCGGCUAAAUACGUG